AAUCAUGCAUUGGAUGGAUGCCCGGG
rnacentral:rRNA from 1 species